GGCGCGGUCGCAUAGUGGUUGUGCAGCGGAUUGCAAAUCCGUCUACGUCGGUUCGAUUCCGGCCCGCGCCUCCA
rnacentral:tRNA from 2 species